rnacentral:rRNA from 1 species
GAGUUUGAUCCUGGCUCAGGAUGAACGCUGGCGGCGUGCUUAACACAUGCAAGUCGAACGAAGCUGCUUAACUGAUCUUCUUCGGAAUUGACGUUUUGUAGACUGAGUGGCGGACGGGUGAGUAACGCGUGGGUAACCUGCCCUGUACAGGGGGAUAACAGUCAGAAAUGACUGCUAAUACCGUAUAAGACCACAGCACCGCAUGGUGCAGGGGUAAAAACUCCGGUGGUACAGGAUGGACCCGCGUCUGAUUAGCUGGUUGGUGAGGUAACGGCUCACCAAGGCGACGAUCAGUAGCCGGCCUGAGAGGGUGAACGGCCACAUUGGGACUGAGACACGGCCCAGACUCCUACGGGAGGCAGCAGUGGGGAAUAUUGCACAAUGGGCGAAAGCCUGAUGCAGCGACGCCGCGUGAGCGAUGAAGUAUUUCGGUAUGUAAAGCUCUAUCAGCAGGGAAGAAGAAAUGACGGUACCUGACUAAGAAGCACCGGCUAAAUACGUGCCAGCAGCCGCGGUAAUAC